rnacentral:misc_RNA from 1 species
GAUGAAGAACGUAGCGAAAUGCGAUAAGUAAUGUGAAUUGCAGAAUUCAGCGAAUCAUCGAAUCUUUGAACGCACAUUGCGCCCGCCAGUAUUCUGGCGGGCAUGCCUGUUCGAGCGUCAUUUCAACCAUCAAGCCCCAGGCUUGUGUUGGAGCCCUGCGGCUGCCGCAGCCUCCCAAAACCAGUGGCGGGCUCGCUAUCACACCGAGUGCAGUAGUUUACUCUUCGCUCAGGGCGUGUGGCGGGUGCUAGCCGUAAAACCCCCAACUUCUCAAGGUUGACCUCGGAUCAGGUAGGAAUACCCGCUGAACUUAAGCAUAUCAAUAAGCGGAGGA